rnacentral:rRNA from 1 species
AGAGUUUGAUCCUGGCACAGGACGAACGCUGGCGGCGUGCCUAAUACAUGCAAGUCGAACGCUUCUUUUUCCACCGGAGCUUGCUCCACCGGAAAAAGAGGAGUGGCGAACGGGUGAGUAACACGUGGGUAACCUGCCCAUCAGAAGGGGAUAACACUUGGAAACAGGUGCUAAUACCGUAUAACAAUCGAAACCGCAUGGUUUUGAUUUGAAAGGCGCUUUCGGGUGUCGCUGAUGGAUGGACCCGCGGUGCAUUAGCUAGUUGGUGAGGUAACGGCUCACCAAGGCGACGAUGCAUAGCCGACCUGAGAGGGUGAUCGGCCACAUUGGGACUGAGACACGGCCCAAACUCCUACGGGAGGCAGCAGUAGGGAAUCUUCGGCAAUGGACGAAAGUCUGACCGAGCAACGCCGCGUGAGUGAAGAAGGUUUUCGGAUCGUAAAACUCUGUUGUUAGAGAAGAACAAGGAUGAGAGUAACUGUUCAUCCCUUGACGGUAUCUAACCAGAAAGCCACGGCUAACUACGUGCCAGCAGCCGCGGUAAUACGUAGGUGGCAAGCGUUGUCCGGAUUUAUUGGGCGUAAAGCGAGCGCAGGCGGUUUCUUAAGUCUGAUGUGAAAGCCCCCGGCUCAACCGGGGAGAGUCAUUGGAAACUGGGAGACUUGAGUGCAGAAGAGGAGAGUGGAAUUCCAUGUGUAGCGGUGAAAUGCGUAGAUAUAUGGAGGAACACCAGUGGCGAAGGCGGCUCUCUGGUCUGUAACUGACGCUGAGGCUCGAAAGCGUGGGGAGCAAACAGGAUUAGAUACCCUGGUAGUCCACGCCGUAAACGAUGAGUGCUAAGUGUUGGAGGGUUUCCGCCCUUCAGUGCUGCAGCUAACGCAUUAAGCACUCCGCCUGGGGAGUACGACCGCAAGGUUGAAACUCAAAGGAAUUGACGGGGGCCCGCACAAGCGGUGGAGCAUGUGGUUUAAUUCGAAGCAACGCGAAGAACCUUACCAGGUCUUGACAUCCUUUGACCACUCUAGAGAUAGAGCUUCCCCUUCGGGGGCAAAGUGACAGGUGGUGCAUGGUUGUCGUCAGCUCGUGUCGUGAGAUGUUGGGUUAAGUCCCGCAACGAACGCAACCCUUAUUGUUAGUUGCCAUCAUUUAGUUGGGCACUCUAGCAAGACUGCCGGUGACAAACCGGAGGAAGGUGGGGAUGACGUCAAAUCAUCAUGCCCCUUAUGACCUGGGCUACACACGUGCUACAAUGGGAAGUACAACGAGUCGCAAAGUCGCGAGGCUAAGCUAAUCUCUUAAAGCUUCUCUCAGUUCGGAUUGUAGGCUGCAACUCGCCUACAUGAAGCCGGAAUCGCUAGUAAUCGCGGAUCAGCACGCCGCGGUGAAUACGUUCCCGGGCCUUGCACUCACCGCCCGUCAA